GGUCUGAAAAUGAAUUUAUUAAAAGAAGAUGGAAGACCUGUUUUUUUCAAACCAUUCAACAGAAGCAUUAAAUCAAAUUCCAAAUCUUCAGUAGCAGAUAUUAGACGUCAAGCUUACAGCUCCCACAUUUAUCUCCCAGUACUCUGCGUAUAGCUGGUUGAUGCUGGAAAGAAGAGGGUUGCUAUAAUUAUGAUGCAGAGACAUUGUCUGUGUUCUUCCUCAAACCAUCUAUAUAGUUAGUCCUCGAAACCCAUCUGAGACUUAAAAAUCUUCACUAGAGAAAAAUAAUAUUCAUUAAGGCAGAGUUGAUGAUAAUUUACAAAUCAUUUAGGAAAUCACAGCGUUUUGUCUUCACUCUUAAAAAAAAAAGUCUUUAAAAGAUAUUAUUUUUGGAUAAAAUAAUUUGCGGUGAUUCAUCAUUUUGUCUCCUGGCUCCUGUAAAAUCUAUCUGAAAAUGUUUCCUUUUAAGAUUCAAACGCAAAACUCACUGCUUUCUUGUCAGAUACUGCUGUCUAUGUUUCUAAAGAGUGAUUUAUAGGCCAUAUGCUCUCUUACAAGAAAAAGAAUUCAAAAUGAAAAAGGAUCACAGCAAAAUACAAAGCCAACCAAAAAGGGUCAAGUUCAGGUCUAAAACUUAGAUUUGGUAGGUUCCUUCAUGCAGUUUACAACUUGUUAGAACACAAGUGACUUCUCUUCAAAAAGGGAAAUCUCUCAAUUCAGGAGUCUACAUACAUGAUGGAGAAGUGAUUUUCUGAAAUAAGUCUGCAAAAUGAAGCCUCCAAAUAUGGUGUUCUAGCAACGACAAAACAAAGCAGAAACAAGCAAACAAUCUAAGAAAGGUCAUGCAAAUGAUAGCCUUCUAAAUUAAUCAACAAAUGACAUUUACUCUAAUGUGUUAUGAGUUAAUCCUGUACAGAUUCUACACUCUUUAGCAGACUAACUUUGCAGAAUGGCCAGUAGUUUUAAUGUGAAGAUGCCAUUUGGAGAGAGUAACAGGAAAUUUCAAGUAACCUAAUUCUGCUGUAGUAUAAAUAAAUAAUUUAUAAACAGAUAAUUAUAUCUGAGAUGCAACAAGUUUGUGAGUAUUGGUAAUUGUUCUGGGUAUAUACAAUAAGAAUUAAAUAUAGGUCUGUCUUAGUUUUGUCUGUUAUUACUAUUCUGUCUGAUAUUAUCUUGUAAGUGAUACAUAUAGAAUUACCCAAUUUUCAAAUAGCAGACCUGUGUAGAGGCUCAGCAAAGGACAAUGUGGAUGCAUGGGUUGAAAGAAGACUAAGUAAAUCUUUAGAAGAGAUAUCCAUUGAGGAUCGUUAAAGGACACUCUCUUAUUCAAGAAAUACUUGGAGAUGAAGAAUGUUGGAGGUUAUGGAAAUUUUAAGUUGAGACAAUUUUUAUUGGUUCUUACUCUUCUCUUAAUUUCUGGAUUGGGUCAGAGUUGGAGACAACAUACUGGUCUGGAGGACUUUCUAUUGUUCGAUUUUUCUCCUGGACAUUACCAACCCAGGAUACUUUCCAGAAUAUACUUGCCCCAACACUCAGAUUUUUAUUUGCUUCAACUGUUGUUUCUAGUCAUAUAAACUACUAGCAACUGUUGAUAGAUACUUCUCUUCCCAGCAACUGUUAUGAAUAAAACCACCUUCCAGAGUAAUUACUGGAUGGCAUUUAUGGAUGAAUGUGUCUUCCCUUCUCCAUAUAAAAUGCGGAAUUUAGCAUUUUUCUACAUGUGCUCUUAUUUCUGUUACUUUUCUUCUUUUUCUCUCUCUCUCAUUUGUUUGUUUGUUUGUUUGUUAUUUGAUUUACAUAAUGGAAUAGAGAUUGAAACAGAUUGAAGGAGAGACUCUCCUUUAGGAGGCUAAACUGUUGCACAUACUGUGUUGCAAAGAAUAGCUGUGCUCUUUACUUUCACUUAGUGUCCACAGAAUGGGUGGAACUGAAAACAGGAGAGAAGAUAGAGUACUGGAGUACUGCUAUCAGGAAUCACCUACAUAUUAAUUAGUAAGAGAACUGAGUUAGGUUGGUUUAGGAUUGAGAGAAUAUCAGUUUCUGAGAUACAAGUGAAGUAUGUAAAAAAAUAAUAAAUAAAUAUAUAAAAGACCAAGGAGUAUCAAUUUGAAUAUGGAGUUCUAAGAAGAAUAUAGGAAGUUAUUUAAUGUCUUUAGAAAAAUAGUUGGGAGCACUGUAUGGUUCAGCUUAUGAUGAUUUCUGACCAGAGUACAAAGCAGGACUGUGUUUUACAACUAUCAUAAAAAUUAUUUAUAGUUCUUCACCUCACAACAGAGGUUUUGAUAUUUACUAUGAACAUAGAUGAAGCACUUUUUCAUUAAUUUUUUAGACAUAGUUUUAUACUUUUUACUCAGUUUUAAUCUGUUAUUUCUUAUGAUCUUAACUUGUAUGUCAUUGUUCGUAUUCUACAUAGGUUGUUUUGAAUGUAA
ensembl:lncRNA